UGUCUUGUCCAUGGCUUGACCUUCUACUUGCCCUAGGAUAGAUUCCUCAAGCUUUUUUUGCAAGAAUAGGUUGCUCAGUCAUUUCAUCUUGGAUUUUGUUAUAGAUUAUAGGGAGUAAAUAUGUUAAUAUAGGAAGUAAAUAUUGAUAGAUGAGUUAGUUACUUAAUCUUAGGGAUGGUAUAAUCAUAGGUUUGAUUUUCCUUCCUGUUUAGAUAUCAUCUCUCAUGUAUAAAUAGGUCAUAAUCUCUAUUGUGAUACACAAUAAAUAUUAUAUUUCUACAUGGUAUCAGAGCCAUUCUCGUAGAAAUUUAAUUUUUUCUCUCUCGUCAAGUUUUAAUUUUUUUUUUUUUUUUGAGACUUAGGUCUCUAUUCAUUUGGGUUACCCAUAAAGGGUAACAUUUGGAUCUCACCAUCGUUAGAGUCGCCACACCGUCCCCUUGUCAACUCUGAGGUUUGUUUGCCGUUCAGGUGUUGGGUGGAGGUGUUUUUUUUUGUACUGUUCAUAUUCGGGUACUGUUUAUCAGCACUGUUCAUGGAUAUUGUUCAUCAGUACUGUUCACGGGUACAGUUCAUCGGUACUGUUCAUGGCACUGUUCACGGGUAUUGUUCUACAGAAUAAAAAUUAGCGCACACAAAUGGCGCAUAUGGCAGUUGAGGCCCCUUCAGAUCAGGGAAUUUUAAUAUCUAGAGAUGAGUAUGCACAAUUCACCCAAUACCAGACAUCUCUGAAAUCCUCUAAUUCCUCCUUUAUCACUGCAAUUGCCGAGUUAGGUAACUCUACUACAUGUUUUGUGUCUUCAUCCUCCAAAUGGGUUAUUGAUUCCGGUGCUACCGAUCAUAUGUCAGGUAAUUCUACCCUUUUGUCCAAUCUUGAGUCUCAUGCAUCGCCUUCUUAUGUUACUCUUGCUGAUGGUACUAAAUUUUUUGUCAUGGGUUCUGGUCAUGUCAACUUAACCCCUUCUCUUUCUGUAUCCUCUGUAUUAUGUCUCCCUAAGUUCGCAUUUAAUUUGCUUUCUAUUAGUAAACUCACUUGUACAUUGAAUUGUUGUGUCUCAUUCUUUCUUGAUCACUGUAUUUUUCAGGAUCUUUCGACGAAGCAGAUUAUUGGUAGAGGGCGUGAGUCAGAGGGUCUCUACGUCUUGGAUCAGCAAUUACCUAGAUCUCUUGCAUGUUCCACACGUUUAACACCUUUUGAUGUUCAUUGUCGUUUGGGGCAUCCUUCUCUCUCGGCUUUGAAGAGGUUAUAUCCACAGUUUCAUUCUUUGUCUGUUUUAGAUUGUGAGUCUUGUCAAUUUGCCAAACAUCAUCGUUUACCUUCAGUGUCUCGAGUCAAUAAACGGGCUUUGUCCCCCUUUGAGUUAGUACAUUCAGAUGUUUGGGGUCCUUGUCCUACUGUGUCUAAAUCUGGCUUUAAGUACUUUGUUACUUUUGUUGAUGACUUCUCUCGUACUACUUGGUUAUUUUUAAUGAAGAGUCAUUCAGAAUUAUUUUCUAUCUUUUAUGCGUUUUAUGCUGAAAUCCAAACCCAAUUCAAUAUUCCCAUUCGUAUAUUGCAAAGUGAUAAUGCUAAAGAGUAUCUCUCCGGGGAAUUUCAAUCUUAUUUGUUACAGAAAGGGAUUCUUCAUCAGUCCUCUUGUGUUGACACUCCUUCACAAAAUGGAGUUGCCGAAAGAAAAAAUCGACAUCUUCUUGAAGCAGCCAAAUCCCUCUUAUUCCAAAUGAAAGUACCUAAAUAUUUUUUGGGCUGAUGUUGUAUCCACGGCUUGUUUUUUGAUCAAUCGCAUGCCUUCCUCCAUCCUUCAUGGUGAUAUCCCUUAUAAUAUUUUGUUUCCCACUAAAUCUUUGUUUCCUAUUGAGCCACGUAUCUUUGGGUGUACUUGUUUUGUUCGUGAUGUUCGUCCACAGGUUACUAAAUUGGAUCCCAAAUCACUCAAAUGUGUCUUCCUUGGCUACUCUCGACGUCAGAAAGGGUAUCAUUGUUUUUCUUCUGAUCUGAAUUGGUAUCUUGUGUCUGCAGAUAUAACAUUCUUUGAGUCCACUCCAUUUUUUCCGCCAUCAUCUAUUUAUAACACUCAAGACGAGGAAGAUGACCUCUUGUUAUACACAGUUCACUCUCUGUCUCCUCAGACUACUCCUACACCUUUCGCUCAUGUGCCAAGUCGCCCUCCCAUCUUUCAUGUGUAUUCCAGACGCUUAGAGGACUCUGACUCUGCUCCACUACCCGCUUCUUCGUCGACAGAUCCUGCUCCCACUGAUCCUUCACUGUCUGAUUUGGAUUUGCCCAUUGCUUUUCGCAAAGGUAAACGUACUUGCACUUAUCCUAUUUCAGCUUGUGUCUCUUAUAAUCAAUUAUCCUCUUCUUUUCGUUAUUUUGCCACUGCUUUAGAUUCUAUUUCAGUUCCCAAAACUGUUAUUGAGGCUUUGUACCAUCGUGGUUGGCGUGCUGCAAUGGAAGAGAAAAUGAUGGCCCUUGAUACUAAUGGUACUUGGGAGUUGAUGUCCUUGCUCCCAGGAAAGCGGGCUAUUGGGUGCAAAUGGGUAUUUGCAGUGAAAGUAAAUCCUGAUGGAUCUGUUACUCGCCUCAAAACCCGUUUAGUAGCCAAAGGUUAUGCACAAACUUAUGGAGUUGACUAUUCUGAUACAUUUUCCCCAGUUGCCAAGCUCACAUCUGUUCGAUUGUUUAUUUCCUUGGCAGCUACACAUGAUUGGUCUUUGCAUCAACUGAAUAUUAAAAAUGCUUUUCUUCAUGGUGAUCUCAGGAGGAGGUUUAUAUUGAGCAACCACCUGGUUUUAUUGCUCAGGGGGAGUCAGGUAAGGUUUGUAGACUUCGAAAAUCCCUUUAUGGCUUGAAACAGAGUCUUCGGACAUGGUUUCGCAGGUUUAGUGAGGUGGUCCAACAGUUUGGAAUGAAGAUGAGUAAGUGUGAUCACUCAGUGUUUUAUAGAAAUUCUGAUAAUGGAGUAAUUCUGCUUGUAGUAUAUGUGGAUGAUAUUGUUAUCACAGGAAGUGACAUUACUGGCAUCACAUCCCUAAAAGAAUUUCUUAAAACACAGUUGCAUACAAAGGAUUUGGGUUCAUUGAAAUAUUUCUUGGGAAUCGAAGUUAUGCGGUGUAAAAAAGGCAUCUUUUUGUCUCAAAGAAAAUAUGUUCUUGAUUUGUUAGCAGAAAUAGGAAAAUUGGGUGCUAAGCCUUGUAGUGCCCCAAUGACCCCUAACCUUCAACUUACCACAGAAGACAGUGAGCUAUUUGCAGAUCCUGAAAGGUAUAGAAGAUUAGUUGGGAAGCUGAAUUAUUUGGCGGUGACUCGUCCUGGUAUUGCAUAUUCAGUGAGUGUGGUAAGUCAGUUUAUGUCCUCUCCUACUGUUGCCCAAUGGGAUGCUUUGGGACAGAUUCUUUGUUACCUUAAAGGGGCCCAAGGCGAGGCCUAUUCUAUGAUAACCAUAUGCACUCAAAUAUUGAAUGCUUUUCUGAUGCUGAUUAGGCAGGCUCGAAGGUUGAUAGGAGAUCAACUAUUGGGUAUUGUGUUUUUAUGGGAAGUAACUUGGUCUCAUGGAAAAGUAAGAAGCAAAAUGUGGUCUCCCGUUCUAGUGCUGAAUCUGAAUAUCGAGCCAUGGCACAAGCCGUUUGUGAAGUUUUGUAGGUACGUCAACUAUUAAAAGAACUUGGGUUUACAAAUUCGGUGCCUGCUAAGUUGUGGUGUGAUAAUCAAGCAGCUAUCCACAUUGCCUCCAAUCCAGUAUUUUACGAGAGGACUAAACACAUCGAGAUUGAUUGUCAUUUUGUUUGUGAAAAGGUCCAACAAAAGAUAAUAUUAACAGGACAUAUCCAAACUGGAGAACAAUUAAGAGAUAUCUUCACUAAAGCUCUAAAUGGAACUCGAGUUGAUUAUAUAUGUAACAAGUUGGGCAUGAUUAACAUUUAUGCUCUAACUUGAAGGGGAGUAUUAUAGGUUAUAUGAAGUAAAUAUGUUAAUAUAGGAAGUAAAUAUUGAUAGAUGGGUUAGUUACUUAAUCUUAGAGAUUGUAUAAUCAUAGACUUGAUUUUCCUUCCUGUUUAGAUACCGUCUCUCAUGUAUAAAUAGGUUGUAAUCUCUAUUGUGAUACACAAUAAAUAUUAUAUUUCUACAGAUUUCAAGGUGGGAAGGCUCAAUUAUCAAUUCUUAAAGCCCAAACUCUUUAAUCUCAGGUUCUCUUUAAUUUUAGCUUUAAGUUGCUCUUUGCAGUUUUCAUCUUCAAGUUGUUUUUUCUCAUUUGUCUUUAAAUUCUUGUCUUAUAUUAUACCUUUAAGAGCUCUUGACAUCAUACCAACAGUACUUUGAGUUAAAACAAAUGACUAGCAACUUGUAAGAUCAUCUGGUUAAAACAAUGCCUUGAAGAGUUGAGAUGUGAUGAUGUCAAAAGAAUGAAGUCAAUUUAUGACAAUCAAGGAAUAGUGCAUAUCACCUGCAAUCCAGUUUUUCAUGAAAGAACAAAUAUAUAAAGGUAGAUUGUUACUUUAUCGGACAGAAGAUCGAG
rnacentral:lncRNA from 1 species